rnacentral:rRNA from 1 species
AGCGAACGCUGGCGGCAGGCCUAACACAUGCAAGUCGAGCGCCCAGCAAUGGGAGCGGCAGACGGGUGAGUAACGCGUGGGGAUGUGCCCAAUGGUACGGAAUAGCUCCGGGAAACUGGAAUUAAUACCGUAUGUGCCCUUCGGGGGAAAGAUUUAUCGCCAUUGGAUCAACCCGCGUCUGAUUAGCUAGUUGGUGUGGUAAAGGCGCACCAAGGCGACGAUCAGUAGCUGGUCUGAGAGGAUGAUCAGCCACACUGGGACUGAGACACGGCCCAGACUCCUACGGGAGGCAGCAGUGGGGAAUAUUGGACAAUGGGCGCAAGCCUGAUCCAGCCAUGCCGCGUGUGUGAUGAAGGCCUUAGGGUUGUAAAGCACUUUCGCCGGUGAAGAUAAUGACGGUAACCGGAGAAGAAGCCCCGGCUAACUUCGUGCCAGCCGCCGCUGUAA